rnacentral:rRNA from 1 species
ACGCUCGACACCUACGGGAGGCAGCAGUGGGGAAUAUUGCACAAUGGAGGAAACUCUGAUGCAGCGAUGCCGCGUGAGGGAAGAAGGUUUUCGGAUUGUAAACCUCUGUCUUUGGGGACGAUAAUGACGGUACCCAAGGAGGAAGCUCCGGCUAACUACGUGCUAGCAGCCGCGGUAAUCNGAGCGGGCUGGCAAGGC